UACGAAGGGGGCGAGCGUUGUUCGGAAUUAUUGGGCGUAAAGGGCGCGCAGGCGGCUCUGAAAGUCAGAUGUGAAAGCCCCGGGCUUAACCUGGGAAUUGCAUUUGAUACUCUGGAGCUUGAGUACGGGAGAGGAGAGUGGAAUUCCCAGUGUAGAGGUGAAAUUCGUAGAUAUUGGGAAGAACACCGGUGGCGAAGGCGGCUCUCUGGACCGUAACUGACGCUGAGGCGCGAAAGCGUGGGGAGCAAACGGG
rnacentral:rRNA from 1 species